rnacentral:lncRNA from 1 species
UCACCCCCUCUUCCACCACCUAUGUCCCUCAUGGCUAUCAUCCCCACCCCGGUGACCAUCACUUAGUUUCACCGAGAUAGUCUGGGUCUCCUACAUCACUGCUGGUGACAAUAUCUAGCUUUGAGACCUCGCCCCUUCAUUGUUGUUGCUGCCUCCUCUCUCCACUGCUCUUUUUUCUUAUUCUGUCUUCCCCUACUUUUCUGCUUCUCUUGUCUUGUUUUCCUCCUCCUCCUCUCCCAGCUCAUGUCCUCUACAUUUCUAGCACAUCAUUGCUGACCACAUUUUCUUCCAUGCUCUCCAAAAUCCUCUAUAUACUCUCCUACUUCCACUCUACUUUUUCUCUCCAUGAAAGUCCCACCUUUUCCUCCAUUUCAACCUCGAAGUCCUUACCAUUGCCAUUGCCAUGACUCCUCUCAUGGAGAAGACCUCCACCAGGUGCAAGUACAAGGUGAAGGAACUUUCCUGGGCUCGCCAAGCUUGAGAUGCCUAGACUCAUGGCCCACCUAGCCCCUCCAAGCUCUUCAAGGGCACCUGCAUCUCCUGAUCCCUCCACAUCAUGACCAUCUAGAGCUUGACCUCCGGUGGAGGUUGGGCUUGGCGAGGUUGAGGGUGUGUAGCCGCCAAGCUCAUGCUUGAUCUGGUGGGGUCAUCACUUGGAGGCCUCGAUCUCAUGGAAGUUAAGGGAAACAUUUUCGAAGACGACGGAGAGGUUCUUGUGGCUGCACACGGUGGAAGAGGAUCGAUGGAGUGAAGGUAAAGGCAUAGAGGGUGAAGAGAUUUCGGGAGACAACGAAGGCAAGUAUGAGGUGAUGGAGGGUAGAGGAGUAGAGCAAGACCUGGUGGAAGCUGGUGGUACCGUCACCAUUCUUGAAGGAGACGGAGCCCGUGGGGGUGGAGACGGUGACAUAAUUUGCCGUCAUCUUUGGUUUUCGGACUAAGACAAAGGAUUUAAAAAUUAAGGAGAAGCUUCGGUUUGGUUUUCCAUGGUAGCAUAAAUGAGGAGUGUUGAAAUUAUUGUGCCAAUAUCCAUUAAAAAAAAAAGAAAUUAUUGUGCCAAUAUGGUUGCGAGCAUGUUUAAUCUUGUCAUGUCAUGUCAUAUAGAUAAUUAACUAGCUAUAUUUGUAAGUGUCCUCAAAGUCUACUUAGUGGAAAGAGGAUAAUGUUAGUGGAGUUAGUGAAGAGUCAUUACUUUAUGGAAUCAGUUUCCUGGAAAUUCAGAUGUCCAUGAAGAGCUCUAGAAAAGUCGCAUUAAAUGAAGUCUAAAUACUUGACGGUCACUCCAGAAAGAUCCCCAGUGUUUUUGUAUACAUCCACGAAGGGUUCAUCUCUUUUAAUUAAAUAAGCUAAUGAUGUGUUAAAUGUCC